UACGUAGGUGGCAAGCGUUAUCCGGAUUUAUUGGGCGUAAAGGGAACGCAGGCGGUCUUUUAAGUCUGAUGUGAAAGCCUUCGGCUUAACCGGAGUAGUGCAUUGGAAACUGGGAGACUUGAGUGCAGAAGAGGAGAGUGGAACUCCAUGUGUAGCGGUGAAAUGCGUAGAUAUAUGGAAGAACACCAGUGGCGAAAGCGGCUCUCUGGUUUGUAACUGACGCUGAGGUUCGAAAGCGUGGGUAGCAAACAGG
rnacentral:rRNA from 1 species